UUAUCCGGAUUUACUGGGUGUAAAGGGAGCGCAGGUGGUGCGGCAAGUCUGAUGUGAAAGCCCGGGGCUCAACCCCGGUACUGCAUUGGAAACUGUCGUACUAGAGUGUCGGAGGGGUAAGUGGAAUUCCUAGUGUAGCGGUGAAAUGCGUAGAUAUUAGGAGGAACACCAGUGGCGAAGGCGGCUUACUGGACGAUAACUGACGCUGAGGCUCGAAAGCGUGGGGAGCAAACAGGAUUAGAUACCCUGGUAGUCCACGCUCGUAAACGAUGAAUACUA
rnacentral:rRNA from 1 species